rnacentral:siRNA from 1 species
CACGACCACGAACUCCAGCUCC